GCCCGCUUGGCCCAGUGGUACGGCGUGUCUUUCCUAGGACGCAGGACGUCCUGUGCACCAGAAAACGAGGACAAGAUCGUGGGUUCGAUCCCCACAGUGGGUU